rnacentral:rRNA from 1 species
GAUGAACGCUAGCGAUAGGCCUAACACAUGCAAGUCGAGGGGCAGCAUAGGAGUAGCAAUACUUUUGAUGGCGACCGGCGGAUGGGUGAGUAACGCGUAUGUAACCUGCCUUGCGCUUCGGGAUAGCCCGUUGAAAGACGGAUUAAUACCGGAUAUAAUUAUUAAUCUGCAUGGAUUGAUAAUGAAAGAUUUAUUGGCGUAAGAUGGACAUGCGUUUCA